GGCGGACGGGUGAGAAACGCGUGGGUAAUCUACCCUUGGAUUUGGGAUAACUCUGCGAAAGUGGAGCUAAUACCGGAUAGUCUGGCUUUAAAUAAGAAGUCGGUAAAGGAUGCCUCUGCAUAUGCAUUCGUCCGAGGAUGAGCCCGCGUCUCAUUAGCUAGUUGGUAGGGUAAUGGCCUACCAAGGCAACGAUGAGUAGCUGGUCUGAGAGGAUGAUCAGCCACACUGGAACUGAAACACGGUCCAGACUCCUACGGGAGGCAGCAGUGGGGAAUAUUGCGCAAUGGGCGAAAGCCUGACGCAGCAACGCCGUGUGAGGGAUGAAGGCUUUCGGGUCGUAAACCUCUGUCGGAAGGGAAGAACGGGUGGUGGUCUAAUAGGCCUCCAUUUUGACGGUACCUUUAGAGGAAGCACCGGCUAACUCCGUGCCAGCAGCCGCGGUAAUA
rnacentral:rRNA from 1 species